GACAGAGGGUGCAAACGUUGCUCGGAAUUACUGGGCGUAAAGGGCUCGUAGGCGGCCAACUAAGUCCGACGUGAAAUCCCCAGGCUUAACCUGGGAACUGCGUCGGAUACUGGAUGGCUUGAAUUCGGGAGAGGGAUGCAGAAUUCCAGGUGUAGCGGUGAAAUGCGUAGAUAUCUGGAGGAAUACCGGUGGCGAAGGCGGCAUCCUGGACCGACAUUGACGCUGAUGAGCGAAAGCUAGGGGAGCAAACGGG
rnacentral:rRNA from 1 species